rnacentral:misc_RNA from 1 species
AUAUGGAACUUUGCAAAUUCGAAUUUAGUGUGACUCUAACGUGAAUAUGAAAAAGAAAAAAAAGGGAGCUUGCUCGUGCUUCUCUGUGGCGUUAUUUAAAAAAGAAGCAAAUGGAGUUAUGGAGCUUUAUAACAUAAUGUUACGUACGUGCUUUCAUGUGUUUGUCUGUGCCUUAUGUCUUUUAUAUUUUCCUUGUCUGUGUGUGUCUGACUGUGUUAUUAAAAUAAAGAAAUAAAA